CUACGGGAGGCAGCAGUGGGGAAUAUUGCACAAUGGGCGCAAGCCUGAUGCAGCGACGCCGCGUGGAGGAAGAAGUAUUUCGGUAUGUAAAGCUCUAUCAGCAGGGAAGAAAGGCUCUAAGGAGAGAUGACGGUACCUGACUAAGAAGCCCCGGCUAACUACGUGCCAGCAGCCGCGGUAAU
rnacentral:rRNA from 1 species